rnacentral:rRNA from 1 species
UACGUAGGGUGCGAGCGUUGCCCGGAUUUAUUGGGCGUAAAGGGCGCGUAGGCGGCCACGCACGUCCGUUGUGAAAUCGCCCGGCUCAACUGGGCGGGGUCGGCGGAUACGGCGUGGCUGGAGCAAGCUAGGGGGCAAUGGAAUUCCCGGUGUAGCGGUGAAAUGCGUAGAUAUCAGGAGGAAUACCGGUGGUGUAGACGGCUCUCUGGACCGCAACUGACGCUGAGACACGAAAGCGUGGGUAGCAAACAGG